CCUAUAACUGUUGCUUCGGCGGGUAGGGUCUCCGUGACCCUCCCGGCCUCCCGCCCCCGGGCGGGUCGGCGCCCGCCGGAGGAUAACCAAACUCUGAUUUAACGACGUUUCUUCUGAGUGGUACAAGCAAAUAAUCAAAACUUUUAACAACGGAUCUCUUGGUUCUGGCAUCGAUGAAGAACGCAGCGAAAUGCGAUAAGUAAUGUGAAUUGCAGAAUUCAGUGAAUCAUCGAAUCUUUGAACGCACAUUGCGCCCGCCAGCAUUCUGGCGGGCAUGCCUGUUCGAGCGUCAUUUCAACCCUCAAGCUCUGCUUGGUGUUGGGGCCCUACAGCUGAUGUAGGCCCUCAAAGGUAGUGGCGGACCCUCCCGGAGCCUCCUUUGCGUAGUAACUUUACGUCUCGCACUGGGAUCCGGAGGGACUCUUGCCGUAAAACCCCCCAAUUUUCCAAAGGUUGACCUCGGAUCAGGUAGGAAUACCCGCUGAACUUAAGCAUAUCAAUAAGCGGAGGAAA
rnacentral:rRNA from 1 species